CAAAGAAAAAGCUUCUCUUUACAUAGGACGCCUGUCUAUUACACAUUUGUGGCCACCUGGCCUUGAAGACAGUCUCUCCCAAUGUCCAGCAGCCUUCCCUUGCGGCUAGCAAAUACAGCACCUGGAAGGCUCUCAGCAAACCACUUGCAAGCUCUUCAGCACAAUCCUCAUUAUUUUACCACCACAUUGGAACUGUUGCUUCCUGUUAUGGUGGCCUGCGGAGAGAACUGGUCCUUCGGAAGAUGGGGAAGAACAGGCUCUCAGGAUGGAGUGCAGCCUCGGGGAAGAAGCCAGGUGCCAUCAGGAGCCAGUGCCACCACUUCUGCCACUGGGAACAUCUGCUGUCUCUGCUGGUCAGGCCUUCGGAGAUCACUGUGGAGUUGCUGUGGACAUGGCGUCUCUUCACAGUAAUAGAAGCCCUAACAAGACAGGCAGUCAAUGACUUCAAAACUGUCUUCCUUUGCCUGCUUGGAAGCUUAGUGAGACCCUCCUCUCCUCAUUCACUGAGUGCUCCCAGCAUGAUACCUGCUCGGCUUAGCUUCUAAUCGAUACCUUCCAUAAGGCAAGCAAGAGAUAGAUGUGUUCCCCAAACAGUGAUGGAGUCCAGGGACAGCUGAUCUGGCAUUUCUGAGGAAGGACAGCUGGGAGCUUCUCUUUUGCAACACUUGAUCCAUGCCUCACGGAAGACUCAGCAAGGGCAAAGCACUGGACCAGACAACUGAUAUGGAUCAGGCUUGGUGGGAACCUUUUAUUGCUAGGCAGCUUGGUGAUGCUGGUUCAUCUGUCUGCAGACUUCUUUAUGACUAUACCUGUGUUCUAAGCAUCCCUUGCCUGACCCUCUCGUGCUAACCCUGCAAGUCCUCAGGACAUGUAUUUAGCCUAUUCUGUUGGCUUAAUUGGAUCUCCACUACAAGGACAGAGCAAGGCAGACACAACUUUCAAUUACCUACAGCAAGGCCCAGUGCAGAGGUGGGAUUUUAGGAGCAUUCAGAGAGAAAGCAAUGAUGACACACUGAGACUUUCCCAUGCCGCGGUGGCCAGCUUUUCCUGUGCAAUGGAGGUCAUUGACUUUAAUUCCUUUCUUUAAUUCCCCCUCCUUUGAUGAGGCUCUGGUUGAAUGCCCUCACCAAAGAAAGUGUGAGGAAUUUAGCGUUUCAGGCCCAGUCACACCACUCAUAAUCUGCAUUGCUACCAGAUCCCAGGGAGUUUGUAUGUAUGCCAUAAUUUAGGAAAUGCUUCUCAAAAGCAACUGCAGGCUGCUUUUAGGUCUUUAGUUUCACCGCAGAGUCUUUCCCAGUUCCACAGACUGCUAUGGCCCCCAACACCGGCUCCCAUGACAGGGAACCACUCGGCAGUAGCCAGUCUGGUUGGAAACCUGAUACUUAUCAGGAUGGACAAAUGAUGAGCUAUUUGUUAGCAACAGAUUGCCUAAGUCUUUCUGGUGAUCAUGUUCAAGAGCAUGCUAGGGGACUCAGAAUCACCUACAGAUGUUGUUGAUGAGGUCUUUAACAAGGAGACAAGCCAGCGUUUAGUAUGUAAUCUCAUGCUCCAGCCAGUGAGGCAAAUCUUACAACCUCUGUUGCACACAGUAGGAUCCUGAGGUCCAAAGAGUUUAGGUCACCUUUUCAGUGUCACGCAGUCAGAAAGAAGUAGAGUGGUGUAUUUUCUUUGGGCCAGGCCUUUGAACAGCUCUCCUAGACAAGCUGUCCAUGUGGCUCUGACAGCAUCUCUUCGAGUCAUCUCCCUUUCUGUCCGCACGUCUCUUUCUUGCAGGGCCGAUAGAAUUUCUGUAGAGCACCAAACACACAGUGUGCUGCCUGCCCCAGUCCUCUGACUCUCUUACGCAUAUGGCGUGUUCCCCAGAUCUCAUUUUUGCUUGUUCCUUAUUGUUCAAGGCUUAUCCACAUAUCAACCUCUUCAGAGAGCUCCUCCCACAAGGAAAGUAGUUCGUCUCCCCUAUUUCCACCCCCAGCCAACAUUCGCUUUCUUCAUGUCAAUUUAGUUUAGUUAAAUCACCAUGGACGUUUAUUCCCAAACCUGUUAGAGUGCAUCUUGGUGAGGGCGAAGCUUUAGUGAUGAGGCUGGUCCACUCCCAGCUAGAAGGGUAGGCAUGUAGCAGAGACCAACAGGUAUUAGUGAAAAUAGGAAAGCUGGGUCAUGGGAUGACAAGUAAUGACACCGAGACACGUGAGCCUCUCACCUGACAGACCUUGGGCUGAACUCCUGGUCUAAGUAGCAUGACCUGGGUUUGAUCACCUAACAGGUUUGGAUUGAACGUCCAGUUCAGGGGCAUGACCUUAGGCAUUCAUAACCUUUCCAAGACCUGAAUUUCUCAUCUAUAAAAUGGGAAUUAGUAACCCAACUCAUGGAGGUGGUAAGAGUCUCAUACAAAUGACAUUAGAGACACAAUAGGUCAAAAUUGGAGUCCUUGGAAAUGCUAGAAAGCCCCUCGUCUCCCUUUCUACUUCUCUCAAUAAUAAACACUGUGUGGAGCUUCUAUCACCUCCAGGCUUGUGGCCAUGAUGUAGCCUUUGUCUUCAGUGGCCCUCUGCCUUUAACUGCUUGGAAAGGCAUCCUUUAAAACUCAGAGAAGGUGGUCUGAUGCUAGGAAGUUUCUUUCUGUCUUCAGAAUCCUGGUAGGAAAGUAACCAAUCUCUUUCCUUGUUGCCAGUAUGGAUCACCAGCUUAGUCAGUGGAACUAGUGUCUGAAGGCACAUUUCUCCAAGUGUCUCUGUGUCUCAGGUGAAAGGGCAUUGUGGUGGUCCUAAUAAGAAUAGCCCUUUAGGCUCAUCUAUUUGAAUGUCUGUUUGUGCCUAGUGAUGAACUAUUUAGGAAGGAUUGGGGGGUGUGGCUUUCUUGGAGAGGGGGUGUUACUGGAGAUGGGUUUUGAGAUUUCAAAAGCCCAUGCCAGGCCCAGUCCCCCCAUACUUCAAGGGCUUAUCCAGAUGUAAGCUCUCAGCUACUCCCCCAAUGCCAUACCUGCCUGCCUGUCAUCAUGCUUUCUGCCAUGAUAAUCAUGGAAUAACCCUCUAAAACUGUAAGCAUGACCCCCAUUAAAUGCUUUCUUGUAGGCAGAUUUCUUCUGUCCUACCAGCCAGCUCACAAAUAAUGACACAGAGACUUAUUAUUAAUUAUGAAAGCUUGGUCAAUAACUUAGAUUUGUUUCUAACUAGAUGUUAUAACUUAAUUAACCAUAUCUUUUAAUCUACAUUUUUUGUUUGUUUGUUUUUUGUUUUUUCAAGGCAGGGUUUCUCUGUGGCUUUGGAGGCUGUCCUGGAACUAGCUCUUGUAGACCAGGCUGGUCUUGAACUCACAGAGAUCUGCCUGCUUCUGCUUCCCGAGUGCUGGGAUUAAAGGCGUGUGCCACCUCUGCCCGGCUAAUCUAUACUAUUUUACAUGGCUUGGUUACCUUUAUUGUGUAAUGUCCAUGCUUCUUCCUCUGUAUCUGGCUGGUGACUCCUCCCUUCUUCCCAGUACUCUCUCUGCCCCCCAAAUCCUGCCUAGCUUUUGGCUGUUUAGCUUUUUUAUUAAACCAGCCACACUACCAUAUCUUCACACAGUGUAAAGGGAUAUUCCACAGCACUUUCUUUUAUAAAUUGCCUUGGUCAUGGCGUCAUCUCGCAGCAAUGUAACAGUAACUAAGACAGAAGCUGGUACAAGGAACUGGGGUAAUGCUGGGACAGACCUGACCAUGCUCUUUGUUGGAGAAAUAUGGCAGUCUUUGGGACUUUGGCUAGCUAAGCAAUUGAACAUUUUAAGAGGAGCUUAGUGAAUCAUCCUAGUAGUAGCAUAGAAGACAGCGAUGCUGAUAGCAAUGUAGACAGUGGAUGUCCAUCUCAAGAGGUUUUAGCAGGGAAUAAUACUAGAAAUCAUGCUUGUGAUAUUUUGACAAAGAAUGUGGCUGCUUUUUGCCCUUUUCCAAAUUCAGCCUGAGGCUGAAUUGAAGAGUUUUGGAGUAAUGUCAUUUAUUAGCAGAGGGGAUUUCAGACAACCUAGUAUUGACUGUGUCACAUGGUUGUGGUUAUUAGCGAUCACUCUUACACAGGUUUACAAUGAAAAAGAGCAAGCAGGGCAAAAAGAAUAAAUAAAUAAAAGUACAAUUUGAGGAGAAAAAGAGCACCAGGAAAUUCAAUGUUGGAGUCAAGUCUUAUGCUCAAAGAAAUGAGAAGUUUAAGGAAAGACUUAGGAGAGUGGAAUAAAGGGAGUGGUGCCCUCAAGGCAAGACCCCACCCAGAUAAUCCUACACCCUGUGAGAGGAAGAGGCUGAGAAAUUUCCUCCACCCCCAAAUCAUCAACAAGUUAGAGCGUAAGUAAAUUCAAUUCACAGAUGGGGCCAGAUUCCAGCCCCAGAAGGCAACAAGUUUGGCAGUUUUGCUCAUGUGGUUCUGACUUUACCAAGAGGGGUACAAGAGUAAAUGGAUUGUGGAAUCUUCCUCCGUCGUUAAAGAAAGCUGCCACGGCUAGAUGUGUGGUAGGGAAGUCCCUGCAUGGGGGCCUGGAGAGGCCACUGAGUGAAGCUGUGAAGGCAAAGCCUGGAUUUCAUCAGAGACCCCAAGAUGCUGGAGAUUCCAGAGCUGUGGGCUACCUGCCAAGGAGAGCUGCAGGCAGAACGUGAAGCCAGCCAAAUUCAGCAAAGCUGGAAAGAGUGGGGAAUCUGAAGAGUCAUCUAGGCCCUUAGAUAUCAGAGCUGUAGAACUCUGCUGUGUUUCAGUAUUGUUUUGAUCUCAUAUUUUCUCACUAUAUCCUCUUUCCUCUCUUUGGAAUGGUAAUGUAUAUUCUGUACCAUUGUAUGUUGGAAAUAUGUAUUUAGAAUUCGUUUUUUCCGGGGGUUGCAGUUAAGAGAUUGCCUUAAGUCAAAAGAGACUUUGGGUUUUAAACAGUGUAGAGACUGUGAAGUACUGAAUGUUUGAUUGCCAGUUGUUGGACUGUUUAGGAAGGAUUAGGGGGUGUGGCCUUGUUGGAGGAGGCAUGCCACUGGUGGAGGGCUUCGAGGUUUCAAAAGCCCAUGCCAGGCCCAAUCUCAACCUCUUUCUGUCUACAACUUAUGGAUCAGAUCUGAAAUUGCAGCUACUGCUCCAGCACCAUGCCAGCCUGCGUGCUACCACGAUCUCCACCAUGAUGAAUAUGGACUAACCCUCUGAAACUGUAAGCUAGGCCCCUUGCAUGCUUUCAUUUAUAAGUUGUCAUGAUGUAGCAAUAGGACAGUAACUAAGAUAAACACUAAUAAUGAGCCAUA